rnacentral:misc_RNA from 1 species
GAUGAAGAACGCAGCGAAAUGCGAUAAGUAAUGUGAAUUGCAGAAUUCAGUGAAUCAUCGAAUCUUUGAACGCACAUUGCGCCCGCCAGCAUUCUGGCGGGCAUGCCUGUUCGAGCGUCAUUUCAACCCUCGAGCCCCCCCGGGGGCCUCGGUGUUGGGGGACGGCACACCAGCCGCCCCCGAAAUGCAGUGGCGACCCCGCCGCAGCCUCCCCUGCGUAGUAGCACACACCUCGCACCGGAGCGCGGAGGCGGUCACGCCGUAAAACGCCCAACUUUCUUAGAGUUGACCUCGGAUCAGGUAGGAAUACCCGCUGAACUUAAGCAUAUCAAUAAGCUGAGGA